rnacentral:lncRNA from 10 species
CAGAGCUCCUCCGAGGAGCACCUGACCCACCCGCUCUCCUCCGCGUGGGCUUGGCCCAGGGAGACCCGGCCAGAGGCCUCGCUGAUGUGGACGUGGGAUUCAUUUGGCUUGGCUCUGCUAGGAUUUGGAGCAAAGCUCUCCUGCUUGCCUAUAGGGAGAAAACCUCUCAAUCUAGGCCUGGGAGGGCUAACAAGUCUCAUCUCACUAAAUCAUGCCACAGAUGCGAAGUUUCAGUUUAAUUUGAAUCCUGGUACUGUGCUUAUGGAGACCCUGGUGGUAGUAUCCGUCUGCCAGAGACCAGAGAGAAAAGUCAGAGGUUUCAGCUGCAAAGACCAACUCUCUCAACAAACAUUAAUUCAGUGUGUGUUCCCUGAGCACCCACUCUGGCUGGGCACUGGACGUAGAAGAGUGAGCAGACAGAUGUGGUUGCUGCUCUCCGGGAACUUUAAUACCUGGGAUGAUAGCAACUGACUGUGUGUUUUGAUGGGGGUGAGUUGACCUGGAGUUGGGGGUGGCUGUGGGAACUGACCGUGGCUGGGCCCCAGUGUGAAUACUGUUCUUGUGACCCUAGAAGUGAGUCUUUCAGGCUUGUGCUUCCCUGGUGGGGCUCCCAGACAUGCAGAGAGGCUGCCUUUGGCUCAGUAUUUCGGGGCAGAGGGCGGUCUGGUUGUGAAUCAUUCCCUAGAGAACCAGGCUCUUAAAGGGAAACCAAAAUGAGUCCCUUGCAUAGGCGGUUUUCAGACUGAUGUGCAAACUCUUUUUACCAGUGCCACCUUCUGAAGAGUAGGAAGUUUCCCAGGCAGAGCUUGGGAAGCAUUAUUGAGCACCUACUGUGUGCCAGGCCCUUCCUUAGGCCCUUGGCUUCUCCUUACCUCAUUCAGAUCCAGAGAUCUUUUGUUUAUGCCGUCAUUAUCUCUUGCACGGCCCUAAUCCCCCAUUUAUCCAAGUCCUCCCGUUCUCAAGGCCUUAGAAGCCUCUACCAUGAAGCCCUCAUAUCUGAGGCUCAUAUCUUGUCUGCCCCUGCACCCUAUGGAUUUUAAAAAUUGUUCUCUCAAAGCAUCAUGUAUUUUGUCUCCCUUGUCUGUGAACUCCUGUGUGUAGAAGCUGUGCCACUUCUCUGGCUGCUUCUUAGUGGCUAUUGACGAGUGUACGCCAUAGUAUUUAUUAAUAGUAAGCAUGCCUUGAGGUUCUGCAGCCACUUCCCCUCUACCAAUAAACUUUGUAUUUUGGUGUGACUGAAAAGUUUCCUACUUAAAAUAUUAUGAAACUAAUAUAUGUUUGCUAUAAAAAGCCAAACCCAGCAUAAAGAUGGAUAAGGAAAAAAUCAAUUAUUUUGUGAGUCCCCCUUUUCAAUCCCAUCCCCCUGAAGUUACAGUGUCAACAGUAAAUGGUGAUUACCUCUAUGCCUUUCUUCAUGCAAAAACUUAAAUAAAAAUAUAGG